CAGAGGAACCUGUCCCGUAAUCGAUAAUCCACGUUGGACCUUACUUAAGUUUGUUUAGUUUAUAUACCGUCGUUAUAAAAAACUUUUUUAGAAAAAUAGUUUUUAAUAAUUAGAAUUAUAAUUUAUAUCAGAUCAAGGUGUAGCUUAUGCUUAAGAGGAGAUGGGUUACAAUAAAUUUAUUUAUAUGGAUUUUUCAUUGAAAUUGAAAAUGAAAGUGGAUUUGAAAGUAAAUUCUUAGAGAUAGAAGGGUUGAAAUUAGCUCUAAAGUAUGUAC
rnacentral:rRNA from 1 species